GGAAGCAGGUCAAUAUUCCUGCACCGUCGUUAGAUGCGAUGGGGGGACGGAUCGCGGAAGGUUGUCCGGGUGUUGGAAGUCCCGGUCGCUGCAUUGGAGAAGGCGCUUAGGCAAAUCCGGGCGCAGGAUUCAAGGGUGUGGCGCGAGCUCCUUCGGGAGCGAAGCAAUUGGAAGUGGUUCCAAGAAAAGCCUCUAAGCUUCAGUCUAACGAUGACCGUACCGCAAACCGACACAGGUGGGCGAGAUGAGUAUUCUAAGGCGCUUGAGAGAACUCGGGAGAAGGAACUCGGCAAAUUGGUACCGUAACUUCGGGAUAAGGUACGCCCUGGUAGCUUGACUGGCCUGCGCCAGAAGGGUGAAGGGGUUGCAAUAAACUGGUGGCUGCGACUGUUUAAUAAAAACACAGCACUCUGCAAACACGAAAGUGGACGUAUAGGGUGUGACGCCUGCCCGGUGCCGGAAGAUUAAAUGAUGGGGUGCAAGCUCUUGAUUGAAGUCCCGGUAAACGGCGGCCGUAACUAUAACGGUCCUAAGGUAGCGAAAUUCCUUGUCGGGUAAGUUCCGACCUGCACGAAUGGCGUAACGAUGGCCACACUGUCUCCUCCCGAGACUCAGCGAAGUUGAAGUGUUUGUGAUGAUGCAAUCUACCCGCGGCUAGACGGAAAGACCCCAUGAACCUUUACUGUAGCUUUGCAUUGGACUUUGAACCGAUCUGUGUAGGAUAGGUGGGAGGCUAUGAAACCGGAAUGCUAGUUUCGGUGGAGCCGUCCUUGAAAUACCACCCUGGUUUGUUUGAGGUUCUAACCUUGGCCCGUGAUCCGGGUCGGGGACAGUGCAUGGUAGGCAGUUUGACUGGGGCGGUCUCCUCCCAAAGCGUAACGGAGGAGUACGAAGGUACGCUAGGUACGGUCGGAAAUCGUGCUGAUAGUGCAAUGGCAUAAGCGUGCUUAACUGCGAGACCGACAAGUCGAGCAGGUGCGAAAGCAGGUCAUAGUGAUCCGGUGGUUCUGUAUGGAAGGGCCAUCGCUCAACGGAUAAAAGGUACUCUGGGGAUAACAGGCUGAUACCGCCCAAGAGUUCAUAUCGACGGCGGUGUUUGGCACCUCGAUGUCGGCUCAUCUCAUCCUGGGGCUGUAGCCGGUCCCAAGGGUAUGGCUGUUCGCCAUUUAAAGAGGUACGUGAGCUGGGUUUAAAACGUCGUGAGACAGUUUGGUCCCUAUCUGCCGUGGGCGUUGGAAGUUUGAAGGGGGCUGCUCCUAGUACGAGAGGACCGGAGUGGACGAACCUCUGGUGUACCGGUUGUGACGCCAGUCGCAUCGCCGGGUAGCUAUGUUCGGAAGAGAUAACCGCUGAAAGCAUCUAAGCGGGAAACUCGCCUUAAGAUGAGACUUCCCCGGGGACUUGAUCCCCUUGAAGGGUCGUUCGAGACCAGGACGUUGAUAGGUCGGGUGUGUAAGCGCAGUAAUGCGUUCAGCUAACCGAUACUAAUUGCCCGUACGGCUUGAUCCUAUAACA
rnacentral:rRNA from 1 species